rnacentral:rRNA from 1 species
AUUGAACGCUGGCGGCAGGCCUAACACAUGCAAGUCGAACGAGUGGCGGACGGGUGAGUAAUGUCUGGGAAACUGCCCGAUGGAGGGGGAUAACUACUGGAAACGGUAGCUAAUACCGCAUACCAUCGGAUGUGCCCAGAUGGGAUUAGCUAGUAGGUGGGGUAAAGGCUCACCUAGGCGACGAUGCCUAGCUGGGCUGAGAGGAUGACCAGCCACAUUGGAACUGAGCUCCGGUCGAGCCUCCUACGGUAGUCAGCAGGGGGGAAUAUUGCACAAGGGGUGCAAUCCUGAUGGAGCACUGGCGCGUGUAUGAAGAAGGCCUUCGGGUUGUCAAUUACUUUCAGUUGGGAGGCGUUACCCGCAGAAGAAUCACCGGCUAACUCCGUGCCAGCCGCCGCGGUAAUUC